UGGGUGCACCCACACUCCCUUCUACUCCCCAAACACCUCCUUCCCCCGUCUCCCCCGUCACCACGUGCGAGCGCAGAGUCCACAGUGUGGCUUGGACCGAACCGCACAGUGACUCAGGCUGCUCUCCAUUUGAAAAAUUAAACGAGGGGGGCCGUUUGGCAGAGUUAAAUGAGGCCCCCAGGAAAAAAAAAAAAAGAAAAAAAAAAACAUGCUGAGCUCAGCAACGCUCCUACAAUCUCAAUCACAAAGGAGGAGGUUGGCGCGCUGAUGUAAUGGCCGCCGCCGUGCUGCCGCUGCCUUGGCAGAGGAGGAGAGCUCGUCAGCACAGCCUCGCUAAUUCAUCUCCCUCCCCCUUUCCUCCCUCCCUCCCUCUUUCCUCCCUCCCUCCCCCUCCUGGAUCAAGGGUACAUCAGAUAUCAUUAACAGAGACAAAAAAGCAAAGUUUAAAACCAGAACUGAAGCCGCACCAAGAAAGGAUGAAAACGCAGCGGCGUGAAAAAUAUGCAGGGACGCUUGGAAGAAGCAUGAACAGCAUGUGUUGUGAGGUACGAAGGGUCAAAGGUCAAAAUGGAGGCAUCAUUUAUUGCAGGCUAACUGGUAAAGCUGCCACUCACCUGUCAGCACGUACCCACCUGUAGAGCCUUUUGUAUAAUCUGGAUUAUUUAAGGCUCUUCUGCUUAGACGGCAGCGUAGAACAGAACAUCAGUCUGUGGUGGAAAGUGUUCUGGGGAGGAAGCAUCAAACCCAACGAUGCAAGACGUCUGAAUAAACUGGUGAAAAAGGCUGGCUCUGUGGUUGGACUCAAGCUGGACUCAGUGGAGGACGUGGUGGAGAGAUCUACACUGAGGAAGGUGGAGUCUAUUCUAAAGGUCCUCACACACCGGGAACAACGCAAAUAUACGACGCGAAAUUACAAAAUAUUCUGAGGCGAAUUUUGACUCGCCGGACUAUACACAUCAAGAGCAAUGCGAUUUUGCGACUUUCCGGGGGGAGAAAGACGCGUCCCGGGUGGAAACAAGAAGACUGACACAAGAAGGUCAGAAGUGGACACACAGUAUGCGAAAUUUCAGAAAAAUCGACCGUGAUGCGAAAAAAAUCAAUGCCGUAAUAUCACAGGACGGGAAAACCUCACUGAUGUGAACGCUUGUAUGACAGGAUACAGGUUCAGAAAAAAUAUUGACGUCUGAAAUAAUCGCACGAAAAAAACGGUCCCAGUGUGAAAGGACCUUAAAGAACAUGGAUCACCCACUUCACAAAACCUUGGUGGACCAAAGGGCCAACGGUGGUGGACGGCUCCUCUCUCUUCGCUGCAGGACAGAAAGAUUCAGAAGAUCUUUUGUACCAACAGCCAUCAGACUUUAUAACUCUGGUGUAAAUAGAAGUAGAGACAUAUUAUGUGAGACAACAGACAAUUUAAUUUUCCUCCAGGGAUUAAUAAAGUUCUUCUUCAUCAUCUAAUCUGCUUCAUGCCAGCCUGUCCACCCUGAGGGCCAAAUAUCUGUUGUAGCUCUAAAUGAAGACCCUAAAUGACACUAAAGGCUGUGAUUUAGUCGACAAUAAGUCCUGAUGACUUUUAAAAACCUCGUCUUAUAUCAGCGUAAGUGAAACCAGGAAACUGAAAACCACCUGAUGUGAUGAAGCAGCAUUACACACACUCAGACUGGCUCUUGACUCAUGCAGAUGCCAGCUAACAGUAAUCAGAUUAUGACUAACACUCUUCACUGUAAGAAGGAAAUACAGAAGCAGAUUUUAGUCAUUAUGUUAACAGCGAUGACAAUUUUCCCUAUCCGUCAUUUUCAUUGUUUUAAUACCAGGAAAUGCAGCCACACCAGAGUCCAUCAGGUUUAUUUCCUGAUUUCAUUUGUCUUCAACUCACCGAACACAACUCUGAAACUUUUUCUAAGAGACUGCGUUAUCUCUGGAGAUGUUAAAGCAAAAUUAAAAAAGGAUAUUCAAACUUUAGGCAGAUCAAUGUUGCUCUGUAAAACAUUUUAAAGAUGAGUUAAUCUCGCUCAAAUAAUCCAAAAGUUGCAGAUAAACUAUAACUUUAUGGCCUCCUUGUAGAGGACACCCUCUCUCUGCACUGAAGCUGCAGGGAAACCCCUUAGCCAUCCAGUUUUGUGUUUGUAAAUGUGUUUUUUUUUUUUUUAAGUACAGCCAGGAUUUAUGUCUCCGGUCUCACACACUUUGCUGGUUAUUACAGUCGUCUGUACACACUCAACUGAGGUAUAAAUUUGAUCCUGUUUGGCACGGGCUCUCUUUAAUGUAAAAGGACAGGGAUAUAACUUUUCCCUGUUUGUUAUUGGUUCAUCAGUCUGUGAGAGGACACAGCGUUGACUGUAUACAGACAUGGUAGAUGCAGUUCCAUCCACUCCUAUGAUAUUGCAUGAUGAAUAGGGAGUAAACUUGCACUCUUGUUGGCACCUGUGGGUGUUUUAGUUUAAUAAUAUGGCAUCUAAGCGCAGCAAAACCUGGUCUAAAGUCUUGAGUCAGUGGCACGGGACUUUCCUGAUUGUUAGAGGCUACUUAUUGAGGUAUUUAUGAGAGUUCAGAAAGCAUGAUCGAAAGGAAAGGAGAUAUCAAUGUAUCUGCAAAACAAUCCAAAGCAUGAAACUGAGUUUAAGGGACUUCAGGUUAAAAGUAUUUCUGCCCUGUCUCUCCUUACAUCAUGAUAUUGCCCACACUGCAGGGCCAAUCCAGGGAUGCCAGAAGAUGAGGACACCAGCACUGUUACCUCCUUCAUUAAAUGUUCUUCCUUGAGCUGCGUCACCCCGCUGUAGUGAUUGAGCCUGAUUGGACCAGUGAAUUUUCUCUGGAGGGUGUCAGCAAUGGUCGUAUACAAAGUUGCCUCUGGAAGUGAUUGUAUAGACCUGCAAACAAUCAGAUUAAUGCACGGCAUAGCAUAGCAGCAGAAAUGUAAACAGACGGAGGCAUGCAGAGGAAGGAUUCGCACCUUUCUGACCAAUGAACGCUGUAUGUGCUGUUGUUUGUGGUCAAGUCCAGGUAGCGUAAAUCUUUGGCACGACUCGAUAUGCAUGAGCCAUAACUUACAGAGGGUCUAGCUUGUUUAGUAUCAGCACUAAAGCAGACUCAGAACCACAUCAAUUGCAGCCAUCUUGGCUAAUCUGCACAGACGUCAUAAUUAAGAUAAACCUUUAUGAGGGUGACCAUAUGUCCUCUUUUUGGGGGGUUUGUCUGGGGAAGUUUAUAAAAUCCGGCAAAUGUCUGGGGUUUUGUACAGAAGUUUUGAGUUUGUGUCACGUGGACUUACUGAGUUAGAAGCGCGUAAAAGGCACUCGAUCCGACCGAAAAAACUCCCAAAAUUAACUUUGUGACUCUGUGAUUCUACCCCAGCAUAGUCGUGUCCUCUUUUUGGGAAGUCAGAAUAUGGUCACCCGACCUUUAUUCAUCCCACAGUGGGGAGAUUUGCAUCAUAUCAGAUAAGGACAAGAAAUCUUUCCACACAGGAUGGGAAACCAGUGGAAAUAAACCACGAGUUACAGUUUGAUCGGUUUCCCAUGCAAGUUAGAUAAAGGCCAAGCUGGAACAACCUGACCCAAACGUUCAAUGUUAGCAUAAUAAAAAGCGACGCUUUUAUCCUUUUGGAUCCAAAAAGUUUUUCCAAAUCAUUACAGACGGCAGAAAAUAUCCAGUCACAGUAUGUACAGUACAUAAAGAUGUUGGACUUGUGAUGGUAAUGAAACCUGACCUAAUGUAAACAAAUGCACCAGAAGUAUUUAUGAAAAUGUCGUCCCUCGUCUCUGUCAGUGCAGAAACAUCUGAUGAAGCCGAGCCUACAGCACAGACACAUCCAAUCUCUGCUUUGGCUCUCCGGCAAACAUUACAGCACUGAUUGCCUUUCCUCAUUUCGGACUGCAGUUUGGAUUCAAACUAAUGUGAGCAGUCACUUUCGGAGCUGAGAGCAUUGUCUUCUGUCAGAUCACGCUGCACCCAUCUGUCGGAAACUCACGAAUGAUUAUUGAACAGCAGAAAAAAAAACUGAUACGACAAAUCACCUCAAACGUCACGGCUGAUGUGAGUUACACACACCGUCACUGUGUUUCUCCCCUCAUGGUGAUACAUGAUGAUUAUAGGAAGAGCUGGGAGAAGUUUGGAGAGGAUCAGGUCUCUGCUGUGCUUCAUCAUGACUCACUCUUUACUUUUUGUUGUCGCUCCAGAGCUGAUUUCUCAAGGCAGCAGAUGAAUGUUUGACACCAAACUCACUCUGCUGUGCGAUACAUUAGUCUGAUUUCUGGCUCGUGUGAAGUUCACUUCAACAUGCUUCACAUUGACGUCAUGGAUAUUACUGUUCACUUGCUGUAAAUAUUCUGAUAGAUGGCACGGAUCUACAGGCAGAAAAUAACAAACCAAACCAAAGGGAGAUUAAAUUCUUUGGACCAAACUGACCCAAGAUUUCUGAGAUGCAAUAACUUCAUAAAAUCAUUUUUCAGUACUGCAAAUGCACCACUAACACUGGAAGAACAAAAAGCCCUGAUAAGACUCCAGUAAAUGGCUUGACUCCUAUAAUUUGAACUACCUGUUGAAAUCAACUUAAAGGCUAUAAUAGUUAUUAGUUAUUGAUGACAUUUGGUAAUAUAACAAUAUCGCUGUGUUCUCUUAUACCUGUGUAGUCAACAUUUCAAGACUAUUGCGCAGUCCGCUCAUUUUGACUGUAAACAAAGCCGUUCUCCGCCUCCCCUAACCUUAUUGGUUGUAAGGCGGACGCCACUCCUUCGUGUUGUGAGGCAUGCUUCACGUCCUUGAAUAACGUGCACGAGCCAUUACCGGUCGAUCUAUGUGCCGAUCCUCACCUAUGGUCAUGAACUUUGGGUAAUGACCGAAAGAACAAGAUCACGGAUACAAGCGGCCGAAAUGGGUUUCCUCCUCAGGGUGUCCGGGCUCAGCCUUAGAGAUAGGAGAAGGAGCUCGGACACUUGGGAGGCACUCAGAGUAAAACCGCUGCUCCUCCACGUCGAGAGGAGACAGCUGAGGUGGCUCGCGCAUCUGGUUAGGACGCCUUCUGGACGCCUCCCGUUAGAGGUGUUCCAGACAUGUCCCACCGGGAGGAGACCUUGUGACCGGCCCAGGACCAGGUGGAGGGAUUAUUAUCUCUCGCCUGGCCUGGGAGCGCCUGGGAAUCCCCCCUGGAGGAGCUGGUGGAUGAGUGCCAUCUGGGCUUCCCUCCUAAAGCUGCUGCUCAUAUGACCCAGACCCGGAUAAGCGGAAGAAAACAACGACGAAUCAUGAGUUAAAAAGUAUAGAAUACUUUAUAGAAUAGUAUAGAAUAGUAUGUGUCUGUGACGUGGUUUUUAAAAGGUGAUCUUUAGCCUGACUCAACCGAACCUCUGGUCAGUGUAAUGGUAAAGCCAAGGCUGGCCCUCAGUGAUCGAAACUAUAACGUGUUAUUGUUGUUGACUCUGCCAUAUUAUUAUUUCUCUUAAUCAAUACAGAUUUCACUCUGAGCUUUAAGUAUGUUUAUUUCUGCCUUUUAAAUUGUCAUCUUAUCAUGGGUGUUGAUGGGAAUUUCUGCAUCACCAAAGGUCGCCACUUGGUGGGAUGUAGUAAAUUUCGGUUACAGGGCUGCUUUUUCGUGUAGUCAGGCACAGCUUUCCUCUCAGUCUGCUCUUCCAGGUAUGAGGUUUAUCGACAUAUAAAUGACCCACAGGUAUAUAAUAAUCAUGUGGUCAGGUUCAGUAGAUGGUUCCGUCCCAAUAUCAUGUGAGUAUGCAUUGUUGAUGACAUUGCAAAAAGACUGACUGAAAACACGGACGGGGAAGCCUGCCAAUCAAUACAGAGAGGGAUGAAGAAGUCAAGCAAACAAUUUGUACACAGAGGAAUUCUGGUUCACAGCAAAAGGUCGGCUCGAUUUGAUAUUUAUGCUAUUUGACUCUUGAACUUUUAUGGAAUUCCAAUGAAAUACUUCUCGUCUAGACAUGUUUGGAUGUCUUGGAGGAAUCGUGAGGUAACUGACCGGGUCUGCUGAGCCAUGAUUUCCUCAUUUGGAGACACAGGCUACAAAGAUGGUGCUAUCACUAGACUUUAAAUGAAAAUGUGUAACAGUCCCGGUUAGGAUCGUGAUUAAAUGAGAAAUUUGGUUAAGAUCAGAUUUUGCACACCAAAGCCAGUACCGUGUACUUCUACUAGGUGGCGCUAUUGAAGCAGUAGACAUAUGGGUACUUAGAUGUGAUCAGGGGUGCACCUUAACCAUGUAUCUGAAAUAUUAAAUAAAAUAACAUUAACUUCCUGUUUUGAUCAUCAAGGUCUCCAUAAUCCAUUGUCAACUGUAUGAGAUUACUAGACGACAGUUCUUGACAGAGUAAAAUUUCAAAGUAAAAUGCUGGACUUCCUGUUGGGUUUAGGGUGCAAGAGGUUUUUUUUGUUGGCGUUGGAGUGAUUUUUGUGCCUGGCCAAAUUUCUGCAUAGGGGUUAAACCCUGUGGUGGGGCUGAAUAUUUGGAUAUUGGAAGUUGAAGGGGUCAAUGUAGAGUUGAAAUAUUACAUGUUUUUCACCUGAUUUGUGUGUUGAGUCUGUUGAGUUUUGAGGCAUGUUGAGGCCUCUAAAUUAAGGAUUUGAAUAUGUAAGAAAAAAGAAAGAAUGAAAGAUGCACAACUUUAUUAGUGAUGGGAAAGAAUAUAUGUUUAGGUGAUGGUCAGGUUGCAGUUUGACAACAUAGAUCGAUGUUGAUUCAUUCCCGUUUUGAUGUCUGCUUCUUGCACAAUUUGGCCGUUGCAGCAACCCUUUCUUCCCACUUAGGGAUCCAGUGAAGAAUCUCCAGAGAUCAUAUAUCAUUAUUUCCCAUAGCCAGAGCCAUACCAGGUCUUUGUUGAACACCUGCAGCCAAAAAGCUCCGAUUUGGCGGAAGACACAUAAACCUUUAAGUGGGCGUGUGAUGGAGUGUUGUUCUGGAGACACCUGGCUGCUCAGGCUAAUCUCUUCAUCAAACCCGUUUAAUGGCCUCUUGUGCUUCAGAAUCCAUCAUGUCACCAUAAUGGCUCAUGUGAGUGAAGUGGGCUUUUAACUACAUAUGACUGAUUGGGCAAAUUUCUGGAGGUGGGGAGUGGGGGGUGGGGAGCAAUGACUGAACGCACCAUAUUAAUUUCACUGCCAUGUCUGCCUAACCAUUAACUGGUGGACUCAAUUACGUCAACGAGGGCGACAUAACCAGAGGAAAACGAGGUUCAUGGGUCGGGAAUUUGAUGGUUGACAAUUGGAGAUAUUUUCCUCUGUUAAGGGGAACAGACUCUUCAAGGGGAUGAUGAGUCCUCUUUGGGAAGACACACGGCAAACUCGUCUUAUUAUGGGAAAAAAGGUACAAGAGCAAUGACAGAAAAAAGAAAGAGAGGUCACAGGGUGCAAGAAAAUAAUCACAAAAAUACUCAAAAGGAAACAAAGAGGGUGAGAGAUGAUUGUUAAAACCUUUAAAAAGAGCUGUCUCUCAUAGAAAGUUUGAAGAUUUCUCUCCGGGUGAGCGAUAAAUGAAAUAAAAACCCAUGUGUCGUUAGUUGAUGACUUUUUUCUUUCGUCAUCUCAUUGCAACUUUACCAUCAUCCAGCCAAAUAGAGAGCCAGAAAUUUCCAACUCCCGUCUUUGCUGCAGAGGCAGAAAUGAUGGCAGAUUCUUGGGUCCCAGCCAGGCUUUAUAACCGCAUAACGUUUAACUUUCUAUAAAUACUACGGGCUGCAGUCCAAGUUGAUCAAGUGUGAUUGAAUCUGAAAUGACUCCAGCGACGAGAGCCAAGUUUCCUUAAGAUACUUGAGAGGAACUGCUUGCCCCUGCCCAGCUUUUGACACGGCACCAGCCUGAGUCACUCCUCUGUUCCUCAAGGUACAUCUGAGUUACUCAGAUGACAAAGAUAACCACGAGCACAACCGGUACCUUUACAGAACGACAGAGAUGUUUUAGGUUAACAGAAAUGCAGGUGAUCCUCAGGUGUACAUUUAUUGUUAGUGGUUUCUGUUUAGUUUUUGAUGUUGUGGUUUAUUACCAGGAUUUAUCUAGUUCUCAAUUCUGAUUGGUCAAGAAGGUCAUUAUUUCAGUAUAAAGGUUGAGCCCCUCUAAAUAUGUCCCUUAUUAUUCUAUGGUGAAAAUAUAAAAGUGAUCAAAACUAUGACUUUGUACAUUGUUGCAGACUUAGAGGUCCUUAUCAGCAUAUUAGAUAAAUACUGUACUGUAUAACGAUGUUGCAGCUGGCAGGCAGCAGCUAGCUAGCAGUAGUUGCACAUUUCUUCCUGUUUGGUAGUAAUUUGAGAAGACUGGGCUUUAAUAUUUAAAAAAGGCACUGCUGCAUUUAUCUCCUCAGUGUUGCGGUGGUUUUGAAACCAUCACACAGUCAUAGUGACUUUAACUUGGACUGUUUGGUUGGGGUUUGUUGCUGUUGUAAAUGCAAAAAGGCCAACCCAAAAAUCAAUGGUGCUUGCAUCGCACAUUCACGCUGUGUACCAGUUACCUCGCAGCCGGGAAGG
rnacentral:lncRNA from 1 species